CGCCUCUUGCAAAAUUAACGAAUAAGAGGUCCCGCCUGCCCAGUGAUCAUGAAUUCAACGGCCGCGGUAUUUUGACCGUGCAAAGGUAGCGCAAUCACUUGUCUUUUAAAUGAAGACCCGUAUGAAAGGCUAGACGAGGGCUUAACUGUCUCCUUUUUCAAGUCAAUUAAAUUGAUCUUCCCGUGCAGAAGCGGGAAUCUUAACAUAAGACGAGAAGACCCUAUGGAGCUUAAGACACUAAGACAGACCACGUUAAGACUCCCUAAUAAAGGACCAAACUAAAUGGACCCUGCCCUGAUGUCUUUAGUUGGGGCGACUGCGGGGAAAAACAAAACCCCCGCGUGGAUUGGGAGCACUACUACUCUACUCCUACAAUUUAUGAGCCUCCGCUCUAAUAAACAGAAUUUCUGACCAACAAGAUCCGGCAACGCCGAUUAACGAACCGAGUUACCCUAGGGAUAACAGCGCAAUCCUCUUUUAGAGCCCAUAUCGACAAGAGGGUUUACGACCUCGAUGUUGGAUCAGGACAUCCUAAUGGUGCAGCCGCUAUUAAGGGUUCGUUUGUUCAACGAUUAAAGUCCU
rnacentral:rRNA from 1 species